rnacentral:lncRNA from 1 species
UCAUUGCUUGCCCUGCAUACUGCCGCCCUUAACGCUUGCCUCCAGCGCCGGUCUUGCCAGCCUUGGGCUGGGGACCCCGUGCCACCUGCUUCCCCGCUCCCUUCGUCGUCUUCACCACCUCGGCCUUCUUCGCCUUCUUCUCAUCCUUCGUCUUCUUGAUCCUCUCUUUGAUCUCCCGCAACGCCGCCUCGCGAGCUGCGGCACGCACCUCCGUCUUCUCCGUCCUCUUCUUCUGGAUCACCUCAAGCGAGGCUCCCACGAUGGACCGAGAGUACGGCUUGUUGGUGGUGCGGCGUCUCUUCUUCACGGUGGUGUCGUGAAGGUCCUUCUUGUGCUGCUUCCUGAACAAUGCCGUCCAUGACAGCUUAGC